rnacentral:rRNA from 1 species
UGCAACUCGACUACAUGAAGCUGGAAUCGCUAGUAAUCGCGGAUCAGAAUGUCGCGGUGAAUACGUUCCCGGGUCUUGUACACACCGCCCGUCACACCAUGGGAGUCAGUAACGCCCGAAGCCGGUGACCCAACCAGUUCAGGAGGGAGCCGUCGAAGGUGGGACCGAUAACUGGGGUGAAGUCGUAACAAGGUAAC